rnacentral:rRNA from 1 species
UACGGGGGGGGCAAGCGUUGUUCGGAAUUACUGGGCGUAAAGGGCGCGUAGGCGGCCCGCUAAGUCGAACGUGAAAUCCCUCAGCUUAACUGGGGAACUGCGUCCGAUACUGGAUGGCUUGAGUUUGGGAGAGGGAUGCGGAAUUCCAGGUGUAGCGGUGAAAUGCGUAGAUAUCUGGAGGAACACCGGUGGCGAAGGCGGCGACCUGGGUCGACACUGACGCUGAGGCGCGAAAGCGUGGGGAGCAAACAGG